AGUAGAAUUGCUGGGUCAUAUGGUAAUUCUAUGUUUAACUCUUGAAGAAUUGUCAAACUGUUUUACAUAGCUGUUGUACCAUUUUACAUUCCCACCAGCAAU
rnacentral:pre_miRNA from 1 species